UUGACCUCGGAUCAGGUAGGGAUACCCGCUGAACUUAAGCAUAUCAAUAAGCGGAGGAAAAGAAACCAACAGGGAUUGCCUCAGUAACGGCGAGUGAAGCGGCAAGAGCUCAAAUUUGAAAGCUGGGCCUUUCAGGUCCCGCAUUGUAAUUUGCAGAGGAUGCUUCGGGAGUGGUCCCCAUCUAAGUGCUCUGGAA
rnacentral:rRNA from 1 species